AGUCGAACGGCAGCGCGGGAGCAAUCCUGGCGGCGAGUGGCGAACGGGCGAGUAAUACAUCGGAACGUGCCCAAUCGUGGGGGAUAACGCAGCGAAAGCUGUGCUAAUACCGCAUAAGAUCUACGGAUGAAAGCAGGGGACUCGCAAGAGCCUUGCGCGAAUGGAGCGGCCGAUGGCAGAUUAGGUAGUUGGUGAGGUAAAGGCUCACCAAGCCUUCGAUCUGUAGCUGGUCUGAGAGGACGACCAGUCACACUGGGACUGAGACACGGCCCAGACUCCUACGGGAGGCAGCAGUGGGGAAUUUUGGACAAUGGGCGCAAGCCUGAUCCAGCCAUGCCGCGUGCAGGAUGAAGGCCUUCGGGUUGUAAACUGCUUUUGUACGGAACGAAAAGUCUCUUUCUAAUAAAGAGGGAUCAUGACGGUACCGUAAGAAUAAGCACCGGCUAACUACGUGCCAGCAGCCGCGGUAAUACGUAGGGUGCAAGCGUUAAUCGGAAUUACUGGGCGUAAAGCGUGCGCAGGCGGUUAUGUAAGACAGUUGUGAAAUCCCCGGGCUCAACCUGGGAACUGCAUCUGUGACUGCAUAGCUAGAGUACGGUAGAGGGGGAUGGAAUUCCGCGUGUAGCAGUGAAAUGCGUAGAUAUGCGGAGGAACACCGAUGGCGAAGGCAAUCCCCUGGACCUGUACUGACGCUCAUGCACGAAAGCGUGGGGAGCAAACAGGAUUAGAUACCCUGGUAGUCCACGCCCUAAACGAUGUCAACUGGUUGUUGGGUCUUCACUGACUCAGUAACGAAGCUAACGCGUGAAGUUGACCGCCUGGGGAGUACGGCCCGCAAGGUUGAAACUCAAAGGAAUUGACGGGGGACCCGCACAAGCGGUGGAUGAUGUGGUUUAAUUCGAUGCAACGCGAAAAACCUUACCCCACCUUUUGACAUGUACGGAAUUUGCCAGAGAUGGCUCAGUGCUCGAAAGAGAACCGUAACACAGGUGCUGCAUGGCUGUCGUCAGCUCGUGUCGUGAGAUGUUGGGUUAAGUCCCGCAACGAGCGCAACCCUUGUCAUUAGUUGCUACAUUCAGUUGGGCACUCUAGUGAGACUGCCGGUGACAAACCGGAGGAAGGUGGGGAUGACGUCAAGUCCUCAUGGCCCUUAUAGGUGGGGCUACACACGUCAUACAAUGGCUGGUACAAAGGGUUGCCAACCCGCGAGGGGGAGCUAAUCCCAUAAAACCAGUCGUAGUCCGGAUCGCAGUCUGCAACUCGACUGCGUGAAGUCGGAAUCGCUAGUAAUCGUGGAUCAGAAUGUCACGGUGAAUACGUUCCCGGGUCUUGUACACACCGCCCGUCACACCAUGGGAGCGGGUUCUGCCAGAAGUAGUUAGCCUAACCGCAAGGAGGGCGAUACC
rnacentral:rRNA from 1 species